UGCUCUUUUGCAUUAUAUUAUGGCCUUCCCAGUUGCACUUAAGUGCCAUGUGAUUUAUGGUUCAGAUAUUGUCCGAGACCUCAGGAAUUUGGUUGAAGUAGAUGAUCUAGCAGUGGUACUCAAUUCUAGGCAUCGGCCUCGCUGCAUUAUUGAAUUCAUUUCCCAAUGCCUUCAAUUGCUCAACUUAGAGGAAUCACAGAAAAAUCAGCUGGAGUCAAAGAUCUCAUGUUUGCAGGAAGGAAUUGGUGUCUGUGAACAACUCAUGGGAAUUCCCAUUCCACUCUCUUACACUCGCUUGACAUCAAGAUUUCUGGUCCUUUGGCAUCUCACUCUUCCUAUAAUACUUUGGGAUGAUUGCCACUGGAUUGUGGUCCCCGCAACCUUCAUCAGUGCUGCUUCCUUAUUCUGCAUAGAAGAGGUUGGUGUUCUGAUCGAGGAACCAUUUUCAAUGUUAGCCCUUGAUGAGCUUUGCAGUCAAGUUCACAGUAACAUUCAGGAAGCAAUUGUAACUGAGAAAGUCAUCAAAACACAACUUAUUGCAAAAAGAAAGAACUACGCUUGUGAGCACUCAACAAAUGGUCGGCCCAACUCAUAGGACUCUUUAAGCUUUAAAUGCCUGAUUCCAGAACUAAAUGCCAGUUAACUACUGAGAUUUUGUGGAGCUUGCAGUUCUCAUCCUCUCUUAUAAAAGCCUCACAAAGUAGCUGAGGUGAAGCAUUCAAAUAUAUACAGAAAGCA
rnacentral:misc_RNA from 1 species